rnacentral:tRNA from 1 species
GCUCCCAUGGCGUAGUGGUCACUGCGCUCGCCUUGCACGCGGGUGGCCCGCGUUCGAUUCCCGGCGGGGUCA